rnacentral:rRNA from 1 species
CCAGACUCCUACGGGAGGCAGCAGUAGGGAAUCUUCCACAAUGGACGAAAGUCUGAUGGAGCAACGCCGCGUGAGUGAAGAAGGGUUUCGGCUCGUAAAGCUCUGUUGGUAGUGAAGAAAGAUAGAGGUAGUAACUGGCCUUUAUUUGACGGUAAUUACUUAGAAAGUCACGGCUAACUACGUGCCAGCAGCCGCGGUAAUACGUAGGUGGCAAGCGUUGUCCGGAUUUAUUGGGCGUAAAGCGAGUGCAGGCGGUUCAAUAAGUCUGAUGUGAAAGCCUUCGGCUCAACCGGAGAAUUGCAUCAGAAACUGUUGAACUUGAGUGCAGAAGAGGAGAGUGGAACUCCAUGUGUAGCGGUGGAAUGCGUAGAUAUAUGGAAGAACACCAGUGGCGAAGGCGGCUCUCUGGUCUGCAACUGACGCUGAGGCUCGAAAGCAUGGGUAGCGAACAGGAUUAGAUACCCCAGUA